rnacentral:tRNA from 1 species
GCGCCCGUAGCUCAGCUGGAUAGAGCAUCGGCCUUCUAAGCCGAGGGUCAUAGGUUCGAAUCCUAUCGGGCGUGCCA